UGCCCAGCAACUCCUAUCCCUACUUCCUCGCGGUACCGGCCGGAAACUAUGAGCAACCUUAGGGAAGAUCGGUUAACAACCCCGGUGGGAACUUUGGUCGUAGGCUGACAGGGAAGG
rnacentral:ribozyme from 1 species